rnacentral:rRNA from 1 species
AUUGAACGCUGGCGGCAUGCCUUACACAUGCCAGUCGAACGGCAGCACGGGUGCUUGCACCUGGUGGCGAGUGGCGAACGGGUGAGUAAUACAUCGGAACAUGUCCUGUAGUGGGGGAUAGCCCGGCGAAAGCCGGAUUAAUACCGCAUACGAUCUACGGAUGAAAGCGGGGGACCUUCGGGCCUCGCGCUAUAGGGUUGGCCGAUGGCUGAUUAGCUAGUUGGUGGGGUAAAGGCCUACCAAGGCGACGAUCAGUAGCUGGUCUGAGAGGACGACCAGCCACACUGGGACUGAGACACGGCCCAGACUCCUACGGGAGGCGGCAGUGGGGAAUUUUGGACAAUGGGCGAAAGCCUGAUCCAGCAAUGCCGCGUGUGUGAAGAAGGCCUUCGGGUUGUAAAGCACUUUUGUCCGGAAAGAAAUCCUUGGCCCUAAUACGGUCGGGGGAUGACGGUACCGGAAGAAUAAGCACCGGCUAACUACGUG